ACAUACGCAUCCUUUGCUGAGGAUACGGUUAACGGAGCGAAAGCGACGUUCAACCGCAAAAGAAGCAGAGGGGGCUUAGUGGUGGGGUGACUGCGUACCUUUUGUAUAAUGGGUCAGCGACUUAUAUUCUGUAGCAAGGUUAACCGAAUAGGGGAGCCGGAGGGAAACCGAGUCUUAAUUGGGCGUUAAGUUGCAGGGUAUAGACCCGAAACCCGGUGAUCUAGCCAUGGGCAGGUUGAAGGUUGGGUAACACUAACUGGAGGACCGAACCGACUAAUGUUGAAAAAUUAGCGGAUGACCUGUGGCUGGGGGUGAAAGGCCAAUCAAACCGGGAGAUAGCUGGUUCUCCCCGAAAGCUAUUUAGGUAGCGCCUCGUGAAUUCAUCUCCGGGGGUAGAGCACUGUUUCGGCUAGGGGGCCAUCCCGGCUUACCAACCCGAUGCAAACUGCGAAUACCGGAGAAUGUUAUCACGGGAGACACACGGCGGGUGCUAACGUCCGUCGUGAAGAGGGAAACAACCCAGACCGCCAGCUAAGGUCCCAAAGUCAUGGUUAAGUGGGAAACGAUGUGGGAAGGCCCAGACAGCCAGGAUGUUGGCUUAGAAGCAGCCAUCAUUUAAAGAAAGCGUAAUAGCUCACUGGUCGAGUCGGCCUGCGCGGAAGAUGUAACGGGGCUAAACCAUGCACCGAAGCUGCGGCAGCGACGCUGAUGCGUUGUUGGGUAGGGGAGCGUUCUGUAAGCCUGCGAAGGUGGCCUGUGAGGGUUGCUGGAGGUAUCAGAAGUGCGAAUGCUGACAUAAGUAACGAUAAAGCGGGUGAAAAGCCCGCUCGCCGGAAGACCAAGGGUUCCUGUCCAACGUUAAUCGGGGCAGGGUGAGUCGACCCCUAAGGCGAGGCCGAAAGGCGUAGUCGAUGGGAAACGGGUUAAUAUUCCCGUACUUGGUGUUACUGCGAAGGGGGGACGGAGAAGGCUAUGUUGGCCGGGCGACGGUUGUCCCGGUUUAAGCGUGUAGGUGUGUGUUCCAGGUAAAUCCGGUUCACUUUAACACUGAGGCGUGAUGACGAGGCACUACGGUGCUGAAGCAACAAAUGCCCUGCUUCCAGGAAAAGCCUCUAAGCAUCAGGUAACAUCAAAUCGUACCCCAAACCGACACAGGUGGUCAGGUAGAGAAUACCAAGGCGCUUGAGAGAACUCGGGUGAAGGAACUAGGCAAAAUGGUGCCGUAACUUCGGGAGAAGGCACGCUGACACGUAGGUGAAGUGAUUUACUCAUGGAGCUGAAGUCAGUCGAAGAUACCAGCUGGCUGCAACUGUUUAUUAAAAACACAGCACUGUGCAAACACGAAAGUGGACGUAUACGGUGUGACGCCUGCCCGGUGCCGGAAGGUUAAUUGAUGGGGUCAGCGCAAGCGAAGCUCCUGAUCGAAGCCCCGGUAAACGGCGGCCGUAACUAUAACGGUCCUAAGGUAGCGAAAUUCCUUGUCGGGUAAGUUCCGACCUGCACGAAUGGCGUAAUGAUGGCCAGGCUGUCUCCACCCGAGACUCAGUGAAAUUGAACUCGCUGUGAAGAUGCAGUGUACCCGCGGCAAGACGGAAAGACCCCGUGAACCUUUACUAUAGCUUGACACUGAACAUUGAGCCUUGAUGUGUAGGAUAGGUGGGAGGCUUUGAAGUGUGGACGCCAGUCUGCAUGGAGCCGACCUUGAAAUACCACCCUUUAAUGUUUGAUGUUCUAACGUGGACCCGUGAUCCGGGUUGCGGACAGUGUCUGGUGGGUAGUUUGACUGGGGCGGUCUCCUCCUAAAGAGUAACGGAGGAGCACGAAGGUUGGCUAAUCCUGGUCGGACAUCAGGAGGUUAGUGCAAUGGCAUAAGCCAGCUUGACUGCGAGCGUGACGGCGCGAGCAGGUGCGAAAGCAGGUCAUAGUGAUCCGGUGGUUCUGAAUGGAAGGGCCAUCGCUCAACGGAUAAAAGGUACUCCGGGGAUAACAGGCUGAUACCGCCCAAGAGUUCAUAUCGACGGCGGUGUUUGGCACCUCGAUGUCGGCUCAUCACAUCCUGGGGCUGAAGUAGGUCCCAAGGGUAUGGCUGUUCGCCAUUUAAAGUGGUACGCGAGCUGGGUUUAGAACGUCGUGAGACAGUUCGGUCCCUAUCUGCCGUGGGCGCUGGAGAACUGAGGGGGGCUGCUCCUAGUACGAGAGGACCGGAGUGGACGCAUCACUGGUGUUCGGGUUGUCAUGCCAAUGGCACUGCCCGGUAGCUAAAUGCGGAAGAGAUAAGUGCUGAAAGCAUCUAAGCACGAAACUUGCCCCGA
rnacentral:rRNA from 1 species